CCAGCCUGGGUAACAGAGCAAGACUCUAUCUCAAAAAAAGAAAGAAAGAAAGAAAACGGCCAGGCGCGGUGGCUCAAGCCUGUGAUCCCAGCACUUUGGGAGGCCGAGACGGGUGCAUCACGAGGUCAGGAGAUCGAGACCAUCCUGGCUAACACGGUGAAACCCCGUCUCUACUAAAAAUACAAAAAACUAGCCGGGCGAGGUGGCGGGCGCCUGUAGUCCCAGCUACUCGGGAGGCUGAGGCAGGAGAAUGGCGUGAACCUGGGAGGCGGAGCUUGUAGUGAGCUGAGAUCCGGCCACUGUACUCCAGCCUGGGCGGCAGAGCGAGACUCCGUCUCAAAAAAAAAAAAAAAAAGAAAGAAAACGUCACCAUCCAGCUGGACCUAGAGGGUGCCUUCUACUUCACCCACCUCAAGACUUUCCCAGUGACCCAGUGCCCCAUCCUGAAGGCUUGCUUAGCAAGUGCUGACCCUGUGCUUCCCUACUUGAUGGCCACCAGUGAUGCUUGUCCCUGGCGACUCCCCAGACAUUCCACCUGGCAGCUGUGCUCCUUGAGCACUCAGUGGACCAUGCCGCUCCUGGCACAUGUACAGAUAUUUUGUCUACAACUGCCCAAGCCUCUUUCUUGGGAUCCCUCCUGCCCCUAGCCACAGAGUUAGUGACCUUGUCUGUGACCAGCAUUACUCAGACAUCCAGCCUUCCACUGAGGGCAAGGUCAGGCCCAGAGAAAGGGGGGUUGGGCCCUGGGGUGAAAUAAGAGGCUCAAACCUGCUUCUUUCUCCCAGGUAAUUUUCAAAGUUCUGGACCCAGCCAUUCCAGUAGAGGACCCAAACAACCCUGAGAUUCAGGGUAAUCAUCCCCAGCAGUCCUCCAGACCUCAGACUUUCUGACUGCGUAUCUGAGACCCACAGGCCCCCAGGGUACAGGAAGACACAUAUACCCCAGUCCUCUCCAGGCCUCAGCUGUGACCACUUCUGUGACUAUUUUGGGCACCCGGCCAGGAGGAGACCCCAGAAGAAUCCAUACUGGUACUUCCAGUGCAGCAAUAUCAAUCUCCAUAAUCCUGCUGCCUGUGACCCCCACAGUGGGCACUGCCAGCAUUCUGUGUACUACAGCCAUGUCCCUGGCUGUGCCUGCUGCAGGCCUGGCUUCCACAGCAGUGACCUGUGCUCAGAGGGCUUCCAGCAUGAAUUUGUGGGUGUGGACAUCCCAGGGUGACUGGGUGGGAUUUUCACUCCCCAGAUUGGCCAAGCCUUCCUCUCCCCAGGCUGCAGUUGUGACCCUUGAAACAAUGUCCUCAUGUGGUAACCAUCUGGGGCUGAAGCCUGUGCUGCCCCUGCACUCUGGGGCAAGACUGCAGCCACUGUGCCCCCCUCUUCUGGAACCUGGGAGAUCCCUGGGGCUGUAAGCCCUGUGGCUGCCAUGCUCAACACACUUUGCAACCAAUGUGCCACCCACUCCAGCUGGUCCCUCCGUUCGGGGUCCCUGACUUCCCACAACACCAGAGAAAGCAGAAAGGGAGAGGCUCUCAGCCAAAUGCAAGUGUGGAUGCUGCCCUGGGCAGGAACACAGCUGGGAGGAAAUACAAAGGCAGGAUCUCCCUAUGUUGCUCAGACUGGUCUCAGACUCCUGAGACUGGUCUCAAACUCCUGUGAUCCUCCUGCCUCAGCCUCCCAAAGUGGUGGGGUUACCGGUGUGAGUAACUGCACCUGGCCCAUCCUUCAGGUCUCUCGAAGGUAAGGCUAGAACUAGUGUCAUCUGCUCUCUACCCUGAUAUCGGGAGAACCCACUCCCGAUGGUUAACGCGGGUUCUUUUCUAUUUUCUAGGCGUCUCAGCUGGUUUGGGAAAUAAAAGGAAAGAGUACAAGAGAGAGAAAUUUAAAGUUGGGUGUCCAGGGGAGACAUCACAUGU